rnacentral:rRNA from 1 species
UACAGAGGCCUCAAGCGUUAAUCGGAAUCACUGGGCUUAAAGGGUGCGUAGGCUGACUCGUAAGUGCUUUGUGAAAUCCCAUCGCUCAACGGUGGAAUUGCUCGGCAUACUGCGAGUCUUGAGGUCGGUAGGGGCUGCCGGAACUGUAGGUGGAGCGGUGAAAUGCGUAGAUAUCUACAGGAACGCCAAAGGUGAAGACAGGCAGCUGGGCCGAUUCUGACGCUGAGGCACGAAAGCGUGGGGAGCAAAC